CUUGGUCAUUUAGAGGAAGUAAAAGUCGUAACAAGGUUUCCGUAGGUGAACCUGCGGAAGGAUCAUUAAAGAGAAAGGAUGAAAGUCCAACCUCCAACCCUUUGUUAUAAACCACUAGUUGCCUUGCCUUAUGUCAGUUGACUGGGGGUGUGGGGAAACCCGUGCCAACUCUUAACGGGCCUCUAUGGCAAUGGACCUUUAAACUCGAAUAUCAGUGUAGUCUGAGAAAAAAUUCAAUGAAUUAAAACUUUCAACAACGGAUCUCUUGGUUCUCGCAUCGAUGAAGAACGCAGCGAAAUGCGAUAAGUAAUGUGAAUUGCAGAAUUCAGUGAAUCAUCGAAUCUUUGAACGCACAUUGCGCCCUCUGGUAUUCCGGAGGGCAUGCCUGUUCGAGCGUCAUUUGCUAAACUCAAGCCUACUUGUAGGCCUGGUCUUGGGUGCUGUCCAUUCCGGUGGACACACCUCAAAUGCAASGGCGACACUGCCUGGCUUCAAGCGUCUAGGAAACUUCAUCGCUUCUGUCAGAUAAAUGUCUGCCUCUCAACCCCAAUUUUUAUUCUGGGUUGACCUCGGAUCAGGUAGGGAUACCCGCUGAACUUAAGCAUAUCAUAAGCGGAGGAAAAGAAACCAACAGGGAUUGCCUCAGUAACGGCGAGUGAAGCGGCAACAGCUCAAAUUUGAAAUCUGGGUCUUUCAGGCUCCGAGUUGUAAUUUGUAGAGGGAUCUUCGGAUGUGGUCCGGCCUAAGUUUCAUGGAACUGAACAUCAUAGAGGGUGAGAAUCCCGUAUGCGGCCGGGUGCCUAUAUCCAUGUGAAGUCUCUUCGACGAGUCGAGUUGUUUGGGAAUGCAGCUCAAAAUGGGUGGUAAAUUUCAUCUAAAGCUAAAUACCGGCGAGAGACCGAUAGCGCACAAGUAGAGUGAUCGAAAGAUGAAAAGCACUUUGGAAAGAGAGUUAAAAAGUACGUGAAAUUGUUGAAAGGGAAGCGCUUGCAAUCAGACUUGCCUUCAGCUUAUCAUCCGGUGUUCUCACCGGUGCACUAGGUUGUUGUCAGGCCAGCAUCGGUUUUGGCGGCUGGAUAAAGGCCUUGGGAAUGUGGCCCCUCUCGGGGGGUGUUAUAGCCCAGGGUGUAAUGCAGCCAGCUGGGACCGAGGACCGCGCUUCGGCUAGGAUGCUGGCGUAAUGGUUGUAAGCGACCCGUCUUGAAACACGGACC
rnacentral:rRNA from 1 species